rnacentral:rRNA from 1 species
AGUCACUGACAUUAGACUACCCCCGUAGUCCCAGCCGUAAACUAUGCGCGUUAGGUGUAUCGGUGACCACGAGUUACCGAGGUGCCGAAGGGAAACCGUGAAACGUGCCGCCUGGGAAGUACGGUCGCAAGGCUGAAACUUAAAGGAAUUGGCGGGGAGCACCACAACAGGUGGAGCCUGCGGUUUAAUUGGAUUCAACGCCGGACAUCUCACCGGAUAAGACAGCUGAAUGAUUGUCAAUCUGAAGGUUUUACAUGACUAGCUG